rnacentral:rRNA from 1 species
GACGAACGCUGGCGGCGUGCCUAAUACAUGCAAGUCGAACGCUUCUUUUUCACCGAACUUCGGUUCAUCGAAAAAGAGGAGUGGCAAACGGGUGAGUAACACGUGGGUAACCUGCCCAUCAGAAGGGGAUAACACUUGGAAACAGGUGCUAAUACCGUAUAAUGCUUUUUCUCGCAUGAGAGCAAGCUGAAAGGCGCUUUUGCGUCACUGAUGGAUGGACCCGCGGUGCAUUAGCUAGUUGGUGAGGUAACGGCUCACCAAGGCCACGAUGCAUAGCCGACCUGAGAGGGUGAUCGGCCACACUGGGACUGAGACACGGCCCAGACUCCUACGGGAGGCAGCAGUAGGGAAUCUUCGGCAAUGGACGAAAGUCUGACCGAGCAACGCCGCGUGAGUGAAGAAGGUUUUCGGAUCGUAAAACUCUGUUGUUAGAGAAGAACAAGGAUGAGAGUAAAAUGUUCAUCCCUUGAC